rnacentral:rRNA from 1 species
GACGAACGCUGGCGGCGUGCCUAAUACAUGCAAGUAGAACGCUGAAGGAGGAGCUUGCUUCUCUGGAUGAGUUGCGAACGGGUGAGUAACGCGUAGGUAACCUGCCUGGUAGCGGGGGAUAACUAUUGGAAACGAUAGCUAAUACCGCAUAAGAGUAGAUGUUGCAUGACAUUUGCUUAAAAGGUGCAAUUGCAUCACUACCAGAUGGACCUGCGUUGUAUUAGCUAGUUGGUGGGGUAACGGCUUACCAAGGCGACGAUACAUAGCCGACCUGAGAGGGGGAUCGGCCACACUGGGACUGAGACACGGCCCAGACUCCUACGGGAGGCAGCAGUAGGGAAUCUUCGGCAAUGGACGGAAGUCUGACCGAGCAACGCCGCGUGAGGGAAGAAGGUUUUCGGAUCGUAAAGCUCGGUUGUAAGAGAAGAACGAGUGUGAGAGUGGAAAGUUCACACUGUGACGGUAUCUUACCAGAAAGGGACGGCUAACUACGUG